GACGAACGCUGGCGGCGUGCCUAAUACAUGCAAGUAGAACGCUGAAGGAGGAGCUUGCUUCUCUGGAUGAGUUGCGAACGGGUGAGUAACGCGUAGGUAACCUGCCUGGUAGCGGGGGAUAACUAUUGGAAACGAUAGCUAAUACCGCAUAAGAGUAGAUGUUGCAUGACAUUUGCUUAAAAGGUGCAAUUGCAUCACUACCAGAUGGACCUGCGUUGUAUUAGCUAGUUGGUGAGGUAACGGCUCACCAAGGCAACGAUACAUAGCCGACCUGAGAGGGUGAUCGGCCACACUGGGACUGAGACACGGCCCAGACUCCUACGGGAGGCAGCAGUAGGGAAUCUUCGGCAAUGGACGGAAGUCUGACCGAGCAACGCCGCGUGAGUGAAGAAGGUUGUCGGAUCGUAAAGAUCUGUUGUAAGAGAAGAACGAGUGUGAGAGUGGAAAGUUCACACUGUGACGGUAUCUGACCAGAAAGGGACGGCUAACUACGUG
rnacentral:rRNA from 1 species